rnacentral:lncRNA from 1 species
GCUGGGCAGUGGCGGCGCACGCCUUUAAUCCCAGCACAUGGGAAGGCAGAGGCUGGCGGAUUUCUGAGUUCGAGGCCAGCCUGGUCUACAGAGUGAGUUCUAGGACAGCCAGGGCUACACAGAGAAACCCUGUCUUGGGGGAAAAAAAAAGAAAGAAAGAAUAUAAGAAAAUAGGCAACUAAGAUGAACAUGAUUUUUGAGGCAGUUCCAGGAGAGGUAUUGAGUUCUGUAAAGCCCUUCAGAACAGGCAGAGCUAAAUAGAGAAACCCUGUCUUUAAAAAAACAAAAGCAAAAACAAAAAACCAUAAUAGGUGA